GACGAACGCUGGCGGCGUGCUUAACACAUGCAAGUCGAACGGAAAGGCCCUGCUUUUGUGGGGUGCUCGAGUGGCGAACGGGUGAGUAACACGUGAGUAACCUGCCCUUGACUUUGGGAUAACUUCAGGAAACUGGGGCUAAUACCGGAUAGGAGCUCCUGCUGCAUGGUGGGGGUUGGAAAGCUUCGGCGGUUGGGGAUGGACUCGCGGCUUAUCAGCUUGUUGGUGGGGUAGUGGCUUACCAAGGCUUUGACGGGUAGCCGGCCUGAGAGGGUGACCGGCCACAUUGGGACUGAGAUACGGCCCAGACUCCUACGGGAGGCAGCAGUGGGGAAUAUUGCACAAUGGGCGGAAGCCUGAUGCAGCAACGCCGCGUGCGGGAUGACGGCCUUCGGGUUGUAAACCGCUUUCACCUGUGACGAAGCGUGAGUGACGGUAAUGGGUAAAGAAGCACCGGCUAACUACGUG
rnacentral:rRNA from 1 species